rnacentral:rRNA from 1 species
GAUGAACGCUGGCGGCGUGCCUAAUACAUGCAAGUCGAGCGAAUGGAUUAAGAGCUUGCUCUUAUGAAGUUAGCGGCGGACGGGUGAGUAACACGUGGGUAACCUGCCCAUAAGACUGGGAUAACUCCGGGAAACCGGGGCUAAUACCGGAUAACAUUUUGAACCGCAUGGUUCGAAAUUGAAAGGCGGCUUCGGCUGUCACUUAUGGAUGGACCCGCGUCGCAUUAGCUAGUUGGGGAGGUAACGGCUCACCAAGGCAACGAUGCGUAGCCGGCCUGGGAGGGUGGUCGGCCGCACUGGGACUGCGACACGGCCCAGACUCCUACGGGAGGCAGCAGUAGGGAAUCUUCCGCAAUGGACGAAAGUCGGACGGAGCAACGCCGCGUGAGGGAUGAAGGCUUUCGGGUCGUAAAACUCUGUUGUUAGGGAAGAACAAGUGCUAGUUGAAUAAGCUGGCACCUUGACGGUACCUAACCAGAAAGCCACGGCUAACUACGUGCCAGCCGCCGCGGUAA